rnacentral:rRNA from 1 species
UACGUAGGUGGCAAGCGUUGUCCGGAAUUAUUGGGCGUAAAGCGCGCGCAGGCGGCCUCUUAAGUCUGAUGUGAAAGCCCCCCGGCUCAACCGGGGAGGGCCAUUGGAAACUGGUAGGCUUGAGUAUAGGAGAGAAGAGUGGAAUUCCACGUGUAGCGGUGAAAUGCGUAGAGAUGUGGAGGAACACCAGUGGCGAAGGCGACUCUUUGGCCUAUAACUGACGCUGAGGCGCGAAAGCGUGGGGAGCAAACAGG